UGGGAACAUUACCUUUCCCAACUACUUGAUGACACACUGGCUACAGCGGAAAGAACUAUACUCAUCCCUCCAUCAUGAGCCAGUCAGUGCCAGAGAUGUGAAGCCACCUCAGAGUUCUUCCAGAGACAGACUUUACAGAAAGGAGGAAAACCCGAAUGAAUAAACAACAAAAGGACUGAUUUUUAUCAGACAACAUGGGAACUUUCGAAGAACUGCUUCUGGGUAAUAAACCAACGCUUCCUUCUGCCAUCCUACUGACUGUACUCAUUCUGCUACCAGCAUUUACCAUAACAUCUCAGGCUGAAACAACAGGAAGUUUCACAAACUUCACUACACAAACUUCAGAAUUGAAAGAAAACGAGACGUCAACUCUCUCAGAGUCAACAACUGAAUCCAGCUCCACAGUGGGAUUGACACCAACACCAGAAACCCCACUACAAACAUCUGUGACAAUAUCUACAGCAGAUGAAUCUUCACCGACACCUUUAAUCCUCUCAACUGAAGAAGACCAUUCAACAUCAUCUCCUCUCUCAACAUCUACAAGCUUAGCAUCUGAUUCAUCCCCAAGUACUGAAUCUGAAGGCACUACCAGUGCAAGUUCAACAGAACCUGUCACUAAAUCAAGUCCCACAAUCUUUACAAACCAUGAAUUCACACAAAGCAGUUCAUUUUACACAACAGAUGAGCCAAGUUCAUCUUCAUCAACUGACUCAACAAUUACCUAUUCGUCUUCACAAACUUCAGAACUUUCAAGUAAGACAAGCCACCAAUCAUCUUCAUCAUCUGUCACAAAUGAAGUUGGUUCUUCAGAGUCAACAACUGAAUUCAGCUCCACAGUGGGAUUGACACCAACUUCUAAAACCCCACCACAAACAUCUGACUCAAUAUCUACAGCAGAAGAAUCUACACCAACACCUUCAAUCCUCUCAACUGAAGAAGACCGUUCACCAUCAUCUCCUCUCUCAACAUCUAUAAGCUUAGCAUCUGAUCCAUCACCUAGUACUAAAUCUAAAGGCACAAAUACGGCAAGCUCAACAGAACAUGUAACCGAAUCAAGUCCCACCAUCUCUACAAACCAGGAAAUUACACAUAGUAGUUCAUUUUACACAACAGAUGAGCCACAUCCAUCUUCAUCCACUGACUCAACAAUUAUCUAUACAGCUACUUCACAAAAUUCAGAACUUUCAAGUGGGACAAGCGAACAAUCUUCAGAAUCGACUGUCUCAGAUAAAACCAGUUCUUCAGAGUCAACAACUGAAUUCAGCUCUACACUGGGAUUGACACCAAAUUCAGAAACCCCACCACAAACAUCUGUGACAAUAUCUACAGCAGAAGAAUCUACACCAACACCUUCAAUCCUCUCAACGGAAGAAGACCAUUCAACAGUAUCUCCUUUCUCAACAACAAAUGGUUUAGCAUCUGAAUCAUCACCAAGUACUGAAUCUGAAGGCACCACAACUGCAAGCUCAACUGAACCUGUAACUGAAUCAAAUACCACCAUCUCAACAACUCAGGAAAUUACACAAAGUAGUUCAUUUUACACAACAGAUGAGCCACAUUCACCUUCAUUAACUGACUCAACAAUUUACUAUACAUCUACUUUACAAACUUCAGAAAUUUCAAGUAGGACAAACCAACAAUCCUCUGAGUCAACUGUCACAACUGAAGUUGAUUCUUCAGAGUCAACAACAGAAUUGAGCUCUACACUGGGAUUGACACCAACUUCAGAAACCCCACUACAAACAUCUGUGACAAUAUCUACAGCAGAAGAAUCUACACCGACACCUCCAAUCCUCUCAACUGAAGAAGACCAUUCAACAUCAUCUCCUCUCUCAACAUCUAUAAGCUUAGUAUCUGGUACAUCGCCUAGUACUGAAUCUAAAGACUCAACCACUGCAAGAUCAACUGAACAUGUAACUGAAUCAAGUCUCACUAUCUCAACAAACCAGGAAAUUACACCUAGUAGUUCAUUUUACACAACAGAUGAUCCAAGUUCAUUUUCAUCAACUGGGACAAGCCAACAAUCUUCAGAAUCAUCCAUCACAACUGAAGCUGGUUUCUCAGAGUCAACAACAGAUUCCAGCUCCACAGUGGGAUUGACACCAACUUCAGAAACCUCACCACAAACAUCUGUGACAAUAUCUACAGCAGAAGAAUCUACAUCGACAGAUUCAAUCCUCUCAACAGAAGAAGACCAUUCAACAUCAUCUCCUCUCUCAACAUCUAUAAGCUUAACAUCUGAUUCAUCAUCUAGUACUGAAUCUGAAGGCACUAACACUGCAAGCAAAACAGAACCUGCAACUGAAUCAAAUCCUACCAUCUCAACAACCCAGGAAUUCACACAAAGCAGUUCAUUUUACACAACAGAUGAGCCAAGUUCAUCUUCAUCAACUAACUCAACAAUUACCUAUUCGUCUUCUUCACAAACUUCAGAACUUUCAAGUAGGACAAGCCACCAAUCAUCAGAGUCAUCUGUCACAACUGAAGUUGGUUCUUCAGAGUCAACAACUGAAUUCAGCUCCACAGUGGGAUUGACACCAACUUCAGAAACCCCACCACAAACAUCUGAGUCAAUAUCUACAGCCGAAGAAUCUACACCAACACCUUCAAUCCUCUCAACUGAAGAAGACCAUUCAACAUCAUCUUCUCUCUCAACAUCUAUAAGCUUAGCAUCUGAUUCAUCCCCAAGUACUGAAUCUGAAGGCACUACCACUGCAAGCUCAACGGAACCUGUCACUGAAUCAAGUCCCACAAUCUCUACAAACCAGGAAUUUACACCAAGUAGUUCAUUUUACACAACAGAUGAUCCAAGUUCAUCUUCAUCAACUGACUCAACAGUGAAGUAUACAUCUGGUUUACAAACUUCAGAAAUUUCAAGUAGGACAAGCCACCAAUCCUCUGAGUCAACUGUCACAACUGAAGUUGAUUCUUCAGAGUCAACAACUGAAUUCAGCUACACAGUGGGAUUGACACCAACUUCAGAAACCCCACUACAAACAUCUGUGACAAUAUCUACAGCAGAAGAAUUUACAUCAACACCUUCAAUCCUCUCAACUAAAGAAAACCUUUCACCAUUAUCUUCUCUCUCAACAUCUAUAAGCUUAGCAUCUGGAACAUCACCUAGUACUGAGUCUGAAGACUCAAUGACUACAAGCUCAACGGAACCUGUCACUGAAUCAAGUCCCACAAUCUUUACAAACCAUGAAUUUACACCAAGUAGUUCAUUUUACGCAACAGAUGAGCCACAUUCAUCUUCCUCCACUGACUCAACUGGGGCAAGUGCAACAAGCCAACAAUCUUCAGAAUCAUCCAUCACAACUGAAGUUGGUUCUUUAGAGUCAACAACUGAGUUGAGCUCUACACUGGGAUUGACACCAACUUCAGAAACCCCACUACAAACAUCUGUGACAAUAUCUACAGCAGAAGAAUCUACUCCAACACCUUCAAUCCUCUCAACUGAAGAAGAUCAUUCAACAUCAUCUCCUCUCUCAACAUCUAUAAGCGUAGCGCCUGAUACAUCUCUUAGUACUGAGUCUGAAGACUCAACCACUGCAAGCUUAACUGAACAUGUAACCGAAUCAAGUCCCACCAUCUCAACAACCCAGGAAUUCACAUUUUACACAACAGUUGAGCCACAUUCAUCUUCAUCAACUAACUCAACAAUUACCUAUUCUUCUUCUUCACAAACUUCAGAACUUUCAAGUGGGACAAGCCACCAAUCAUCAGAGUCAUCUGUCACAACUGAAGUUGGUUCUUCAGAGUCAACAACUGAAUUCAGCUCCACAGUGGGAUUGACACCAACAUCAGAAGCCCCAUUGCAAACAUCUGUGACAAUAUCUACAGCAGAAGAAUCUACAUCGACUCCGUCUAUCAUCUCAACUGAAGAAGACCAUUCAACAUUAUCUCCUCUCUCAACAUCUAUAAGCUUAGCAUCUGGUACAUCACCUAGUACUGAGUCUAAAGACUCAACCACUGCAAGCUCAACAGAACCUGUAACUGAAUCAAAUACCACCAUUUCUUCACCACAGGAAUUUACAACAAAGAGUUCAUUUUAUACAACAGAUGAGCCAAAUUCAUCUUCAUUAACUGAUUCAACAAUUACCUAUCCAUCUACUACACAAAGCAUGUCUGCUUCAUCAGAGCCUGAAUCCUCAGCCACACCUGAUUACAUUACAAUGCAAACAUCUAGACAAUCCUCAGAAACAUCAGAAUUUACAAAUGGGACAACUUAUCAAUCGUCAGAAUCUACUUCUUUGGAUGACACCAGCUCUUCCUUGUCAACAACUGAAGUCAGAUCCACAGUGGGAUUAACACCAACAUCAGAAACCCAAUCACACACAUCUUUGUCAAUAUCUACAGCAGAAGAACUUACAUCAACACAUUCCAUCCUCUCAACUGAAGAAGACCAUUCAACAUCAUCUCCUCUAUCAACAUCUAUAAGCUUAACAUCUGAUACAUCGCCUAGUACUGAAUCUGAAGGCACUACCUCCGCAAGCAAAACAGAACCUGCAACUGAAUCAAAUACCACCAUCUCAACAACCCAGGAAUUUACACAAAGCAGUUCAUUUUACACAACAGAUGAGCCACAUUCAUCUUCAGCCACUGACUUAACAAUGAACUGUACAUCUGGCUUACAAACUUCAGAAAUUUCAAGUGGGACAAGCCACCAAUCAUCAGAAUCCACUGUCUCAGAUGAAACCAGUUCUUCAGAGUCAACAACUGAACUGAGGACCACAGUGGGAUUUACAUCAACAUCAGAAACUCCUCUACAAACAUCUCUAACAAUACCGACAACAGAAAAACCUACACAGACUCCCUUCUCAACUGAGGCAAAUUCAACACCAUCAUCUUUCUCAACAUCAACAACUUUAACAACUGAAAGCUCAAUCACUGCUCAGUCUGAAGGUCCUAUCACUGUGGGCUCAACAGAACAUACUUCAAGAGAAACUUCAGAACUUACAAGUGGGACAAGUCAACAACCAUUGGAAUCUACAACUGAACCAGCAGAGACUCCUCUGUUUGUCUCAACUGAAGAAGUGCAUUCAACACACUCUGCUUUCUCAACAUCAACAAGCUCAACAAAUAACACUUCAAAUCCUACCCAAUCUGAUGGUUCUACUACAGCUGAAAAGCCAGUUUCAUUACCAUCAGAUGAACCCAGUUCUUCAGCAUCAACAACUGAACUGAGGUCUACAACAGGAAUGACAUCAACAAUCCUAACAACUGAAACUGCAAUCACUACUCAAUCUGAAGGUCCUACCACUGCAAGCUCAAUAGAACAUACUACAAUUGAAACUCCAGAAACCUCAGUUUCAUUGUCAUCCUUUACAACAGCUGAGUCCCUUUCAUCACCAUCAAGUGACUCAACAAUAUUCUUAACAUCGGCCACUUCAAUAAGCCUAACUACAUCAGAAUCUACUGUCUCAGUUGAAGCUGGUUCUUCAACAUUAAGAACUGAAUUUAGCUCCACAGUGGGAAUGGCACCAACACCAGAAACCUCAUUACAAACACUUGUGACAGUAUCUACAACAGAACCAGCAGAGACUCCUAUUACAUCACCUAAUACUGAAUCUAUAGGUUCUACCUCUGUGGGCUCACCAGAAAGUUCUGUAACUGAACUCAAAUCAACAGAAAUAACUAGACAAUUCUCAGAAUCUACUUUAUCAGAUAAAACCAGUUCUUCAGCAUCAACAACUGAACUGAGGUCUACAACAGGAAUGACAUCAACAAACUUAACAACAGAAACCACAAUCACUACUCAAUCUGAAGGUCCUACCACUGCAAGCUCAAUAGAACAUACUACAACUGAAACUCCAGUUUCAGUGUUGUCCUACCCAACGUCUGAGUCUCUUUUAUCACCAUCAAGUGACUCAACAAUAUUCUUAACAUCGGCUACAUCAAUAAGCCAAACUACAUCAUCUGAAUCUGAAAGUUUUACCACUGUGGGCUCAACAGAACAUACUUCAAGAGAAACUUCAGAACAUACAAGUGGGACAAGUCAACAGUCAUCAGAAUCUACUGUAUCAGAUGAAACCAGUGUGUCAACAUCUGAACUGAGUUCCACAGCAGAAAUUACAUCAACACCAGAAACCCCACUAAAAUCAUCUGUGCCAAUAUCUACAAAGGAAGAACCAACACAAACUCCUCUGGUCCUCUCAACUGAAGAAGCACUUUCAACACCAUCUCCUGUCUCAACAUCAACAAGUUUAACAACUGACACUUUAAAUCCAACCCAAUCUGAAGGUUCUACCACAUCUGAAAAGUCAAUUUCAUUACCGCCAACCAACUCAACAACAACCCUAACAUCUACCACAUCAAGACCAAUACUUAUUACAUCAACUAAUACUGAAUCUGAAGGUUCUACCACUGUGGGCUCAACAGAAAGUUCUGUAACUGAACUCAAAUCAACAGAAAUAACUAGACAAUCCUCAGAAACUUCAGAACUUACAAGUGGGUCAAGUCUGCAAUACUCAGAAUCUACUUUAUCAGAUGAAGCCAGUUCUUCAGUCUCAACAACUGAACUGAGGUCUACAACAGGAAUGACAUCAACAAACUUAACAACUGAAACCGCAAUCACUACUCAAUCUGAAGGUCCUACCACUGCAAGCUCAAUAGAACAUACUACAACUGAAACUCCAGUUUCAGUGUCGUCCUCCCCACCGGCUGAGUCCCUUUCAUCACCAUCAAGUGAGUCAACAAUAUUCUUAACAUCGGCCACAUUGAUAAGCCCAACUACAUCAUCUGAAUCUGAAAGUCCUAUCACGUCUGAAAAGCCAAUUUCAUUACCAUCUAGCAACUCAACAACAACCUUAACAUCUACUAUAUCAAGCCCAAUACUUGUUACAUCACCUAAUACUGAAUCUGAAAGUUCUACCACUGUGGGCUCAACAGAAUAUACUUCUAGAGAAACGUCAGAACAUACAAGUGGGACAAGUCAACAAUCAUCAGAAUUUACUGUCUCAGUUGAAGCUGGUUCUUCAACAUUAACAACUGAAUUUAGCUCCACAGUGGGAAUGGCACCAUCAACAUCAGUCCCAUUACAAACAUCUGUGACAAUACCUACAACAGAAGAACCAACACAGACUCCUCUAGUUCCCUCAACUGAAGAAAUGCUUUCAAAAUCUUCUUUCCCAACAUCAGCAACCUUAACAACUGAUACCUCAAUAACUACUCAAUCUGAAAGUUCUACCACUGUAGGCUCAACAGAACAUACUUCAAGAGAAACGUCAGAACGUACAAGUGGGACAAGUCAACAAUCAUCAGAAUCUACUGUCUCAAUUGAAGCUGGUUCUUCAACAUUAACAACUGAAUUUAGCUCUACAGUGGAGAUGACAACCACAGCAAACCCAUUACAAACAUCUGUGACAAUAACUACAACAGAAGAACCUACACAGAGUCCUCUGGUUCUCUCAACUCAAGAAGCAAAUUCAACAUCAUCUCCUUUCUCAACAUCAGUAAGCUUAACAACUGAAACUUUAAAUACUACCCAAUCUGAAGGUUCUACCACAGCUGAAAAGCCAACUUUAUUAUCAUCAACCAACUCAACCACAACCUUAACAUCUAUCACAACCCAAAACGCCACAGAAACCACAUCAUUGACUACAAAAUUAACAGAAACUUCAACAUUUGCAAGUUCAUUUAUCCCUACAUCAUCAACACCCACACAAGCCACUGUCUUCUCCACAACUGAAGCCUCUCAUUCCACUCAACCCACUCACUUCAUUUCACCUGCUACAUCUACUGCUCCAACUCAUCCAGACCACACAACAAAGGAGACACCUUCCUCAACAAUCCCAACCAACCCAACAUCAGUAACAAAUUCAACUGGAAAACCAAUCCAAACGUCAUCUAUCACCACAGCAGAAAAAACGUCUUCUACCACAAAUGCAACAUUAUUUUCAGGAUCUACUUCUGAAAUAGUGACACAGUCUCAAAUGAAAAGCACUGAAAAGGUUGCUACAUCAACGAGUCAACCUUCCUUCGAAUUUACCAAAUCUACUUCUACUACUAAUCUAGAACCCACAACGAAGGAGACACUUUCAUCAACAGUUACAAACCCAACACUGACUACAAAUUCAACAGAAAAGCCAACCCAGACAUCAGAAACAAUGUCUUCUUUCACAAAUGCAACAAUAUCGUCCAGAUCAACCACUGAAAUGUUGACACCUUCUGGGAAUACAACAACUAAACAGUCUUCUACUCUAACAACUCAACCAUCCAUUGGAUUUACGAAUCAGUCUUCAAAAUCUCCUGCUGCUUUUACCACUUUACAUUCCUCUUCCACUGGUAAAGUGACUCAAAUGACACUCUCCUCUUCCACUCAAGUGAAAUCAACCAUAUCUCUUCCAACUACCAGUUCCUAUACUUCCAUAUUAAUGAGUGAAACUACGCCAAGUAAUUGCAUUAAUUUCACUUCUGGCGGUUCCUGCAACAUUGCAACAGUGAUAUUGUGUAAGUACACCUCAGAAUGAUUGUUUAUUAUUGGGCAAGUUGUAGUAUUGGUAUUCUUUAUCUAUCUACAGGGGUUUGACAAUGAAACUGAAACACCUGUCAUUUUAGUGUGGGAGGUUUCAUGGCUAAUUU
rnacentral:lncRNA from 1 species